rnacentral:lncRNA from 1 species
CCAAAACCAUUUCUCCCAUCUUGCACUACCUUCUGUCCGACUUUGCAUAUCACGUCCUAAAAUCUGGCCUCCAUCUCCGGCAGUGGUGCAGCCGUUCAAAUCCGGCAACCUUGCAGAUCCGACAGUAAAGUCCGAUCUCCAUCCCGCCGCCUUCAAUCAUCCGUCACUCUUUUUCUUUGCACACUAUUGUUUAUCGGAAAAUACCAUUCAUGUACGCAUCGACAUACCAAACUCUCUCCCUCUCUGUGCCCUCUUGUCUCUGUCACCAGCUCUUUCACCGAUAAUUAUAUCCAUUUUUGAAACCUUUUCUGCAGGUUGUUUUUCCCUUUCUUGUUUUCACUAAAAGGAAGAUUUUAGUGUGAACUCAUUUAUUGCCGAAAUUGUUGACUUGCUACUGGGCAUGUAAGUAGAUAAUGAUGCUAGUAUCGUCUCUGUUAUUGUGAAUUCUAGAUACUGUAAAGCGAAUUUGUACAUUUCACAGCUAGUUCAUAAAUAAUUAUUUUUCUGUUGAGUUUCUUUAUCUUCCUUGUUGAUUUUGUAUUUGAUCUCAAUAGCUUCUUGGGGAUUUCUUAGUAUGUUCAUUGAAGGUUAAGAUUGGUUUUUCGUAGUUGGUUUAUUCUUCAGGCAUGAUUUUGGUUUAUGUUGAUAUUUAUAUUGGAGAUUUCUUAGUCCGAAAAGUACCAAAAAUGCACAGCAAUAUUGAAAUGGCGUUUUCUUGAAUUUAUCAAUCAUGGGUUUGAAUUUUCUUUUUCCCCCGGCAUUUUUUUUUUUUUUUUUUCAUUUUGCUGUUAUGAAUUUUUGUGUUUAGGAAAGCUAUUCUCAUUUGCAUAGUAGGAGUUUGAAUGUUUGAUGCUGUGAUCUUCGCUCUUGUUAUUAUAUUUGUACUUUUUUCAAACAUUGAAAUGAGCUGGCAAUAUCUAGAAAUUUAUACAUGGUGUGAUUGACUUAAGUCUUCUUUUGAUUCUUUUGGUUGAAGAUGCUAGUUUGAAUUUUUGUUUUGUUAAUUUCGGUUAAAACGGAUGGGUAUAUAUCUUAAUACUCCUAAAACAGAGAAAUUUUCCGAAGAUGGUGCGCCCAAGGUUCUGCCAGCUCCCUCAAUGACAACAUUUGGAGCAUCAUAUUGGCCACAUUUCAAUUGAAGCGAG